AGGGUGACAACUGGAGAGUUCUGAUAGCUGAGGUAAACAGUUAUACAGACGCCGAAGGUGUAAGGUGAUAUUUAAACUUUUAGAAGCAUCACUAAUCUCUCAGGCAAAAGGACAGGAGGAAUAUU
rfam:Eubacterium sp. CAG:156 genomic scaffold, scf88